rnacentral:rRNA from 1 species
ACUGCUCAGUAACACGUAGUCAACCUAACUCGUGGACGUGGAUAACCUCGGGAAACUGAGAAUAAACCACGAUAGAUCAUAGUGCCUGGAAUGGCUUAUGGUCCAAACAGUUUACUGCCAUGGGAUGGGACUGCGGCCUAUCAGCUUGUUGGUGAGGUAAUGGCCCACCAAGGCGAUUACAGGUACGGGCUCUGAGAGGAGAAGCCCGGAGAUGGGUACUGAGACACGGACCCAGGCCCUAUGGGGCGCAGCAGGCGAGAAACCUUAGCAAUGUGCGAAAGCACGACUGGGUCAGUCCGAGUGAUUCCUGAUAAAGGAGUCUUUUGCUUGUCCUAAAAGCACAGGUGAAUAAGGGGUGGGCAAGUCUGGUGUCAGCCGCCGCGGUAAUACCAGCACCUCGAGUGGUCAGGACGUUUAUUGGGCCUAAAGCAUCCGUAGCCGGCUUUGCAAGUCUUCGGUUAAAUCCACCUGCUCAACAGAUGGGCCGCUGGAGAUACUACAAAGCUAGGGAGUGGGAGAGGCAGACGGUAUUCAGUGGGUAGGGGUAAAAUCCUCUGAUCCAUUGAGGACCACCAGUGGCGAAGGCGGUCUGCCAGAACACGUUCGACGGUGAGGGAUGAAAGCUGGGGGAGCAAACCGGAUUAGAUACCCGGGUAGUCCCAGCUGUAAACGAUGCAAACUCGGUGAUGCAUUGGCUUAUGGCCAAUGCAGUGCUGCAGGGAAGCCGUUAAGUUUGCCGCCUGGGAAGUACGGACGCAAGUCUGAAACUUAAAGGAAUUGGCGGGGGAGCAC